GGAAUCUUCCACAAUGGACGAAAGUCUGAUGGAGCAACGCCGCGUGAGUGAUGAAGGGUUUCGGCUCGUAAAACUCUGUUGUUGGAGAAGAACGGAUGUCAGAGUAACUGUUGACAUCGUGACUGUAUCCAACCAGAAAGCCACGGCUAACUACGUGCCAGCAGCCGCGGUAAUACGUAGGUGGCAAGCGUUGUCCGGAUUUAUUGGGCGUAAAGCGAGCGCAGGCGGUUUUUUAGGUCUGAUGUGAAAGCCUUCGGCUUAACCGGAGAAGUGCAUCGGAAACCGGGAGACUUGAGUGCAGAAGAGGACAGUGGAACUCCAUAUGUAGCGGUGAAAUGCGUAGAUAUAUGGAAGAACACCAGUAGCGAAGGCGGCUGUCUGGUCUGCAACUGACGCUGAGGCUCGAAAGCAUGGGUAGCG
rnacentral:rRNA from 1 species